GUUGGCUGUUAGCUGUUAGGUAUCAGCUGUUGGCUGUUAGCUGUUAGGUGUAAGCUGUUGGCUGUUAGCUGUUAGGUGUAAGCUGUUGGCUGUUAGCUGUUAGGUAUCAGCUGUUGGCUGUUAGCUGUUAGGUGUAAACUGUUGGCUGUUAGCUGUUAGGUGUAAGCUGUUGGCUGUUAGCUGUUAGGUGUAAGCUGUUGGCUGUUGGCUGUUAGCUGUUAGUUGCUAGCUGCUGUUAGCUGUCAGAGGUUGCUUGAGUUACUUUAUGAUGUGUUCAAGCUCUGAUCAGUAAAAAUGAGUACUGUGAGAAGGUAAAUUAUGAAGUUCUCAUGAUGUGUUCAAGGUAAUUUUUGUAAAAUGUAGUUUUUAGUGAGAAACCUGAAUAAAUGAGCUGUUUGAAGGAGAAAUGUGUUGAUAUAUAUAUUUCCUUUAUUUAACCAGGGAAAUCUCAUUGAGAUAAUAAUCUCUUUUUCAAGAGGAUCCUGGCCAAGAAGGCAGCACAAGAAGUUACACAAAGAGUGACAUACUAAUAAACAUCAGAUAAAAAAUAAAAUAAAUAAAUAAAAUAAAUAAAUAAAUAAAAAGGAUUACAUCCAGUAUCAAAUCCUCGUGAUUAAUCCAUAAAACACGUACAAAUGGUGGGCAGAUUCUCCUUAAUUUUAACUUUAAAAUUUUCUGGACUAAUACAACGGUCAAGUCUAAGAUGGGUCUGAAUCUCAGCCCAGGAUUUUGGAGCGCAGACACUGAAUGCUCUUUCGCCAAAAACAGAGCGAGUCCGAGGGAUU